CCGAAGGGUAGCUAGGGUUCCGGUCGUGCCAUGCGCGCGAUGGCUGGUCCGAGAGCGACCGGCCACCGGCACCUGAUCCGCCGGCGGCUCCACGGCGGGACAAAAGCCCGGGAGGU
rnacentral:sRNA from 2 species